ensembl:lincRNA Gm10603 predicted gene 10603
GUGGGGGCAGCUGACUCUCCUCAUGGUAUCCUGGUGGCCUUUCUUCUCCCAAGCCUUGAAUCUGCCCCGGAGAGCAGGCUUCUGACUUGACAGCCUGAAUCUAAGGCUUACCCAGAUCUGGAGAGGCCCUUGGGGUCCUCACCUGAGAGAAGUCAGGAUGGAGGUGUGGGAGGACGAAGGCGCUGUGGUCAGCUUCUCAUCACUUGUCAGGACUGCCUCCCCGUGCUGCAGGGACUCGUGAAAGCGGCGGAUGUUCUGCACAUGCUCUUCAUGGCGUGCGGCCUGGCUUCUGAUGGCACCAUUUCUGUCACGGGGAAACCGGGAGGGAAGUCAACUCCUAACCAAGGAGAGAACUCUCAGCAUGACAACUGAGUCAUGUUCUUGAAAUGAAACUGCAGACCUGUCCCACCACUGCAAACAGUUCUGGCUUGCCUAGCUCUUUUUGUAUUACACAGGUUUCUUAAAAAACACUCGCUUUCAGUCUUACCCACUCCACUUCCUUCUGUUCUCCACAUUUGAGCGGGAGUGACUUUUCUAACCAACACCACAUAUGGAGCCUUCCUUAAGGAUUCAACAGGGAUUAAUCUAUUCACCAUUACCAUUCCUUUCUGGCUCUGCCUUUUUUAAUCUACAGAACAAACCUCUAAUUCCUAAGCAUGAUAUUCAAAAAUGUGACCACAACAAUCUUUCUUUUCUCUUAAUAAGGCAGCCUUUUUGAAGUAAUUCAUAAAGCAUUUAGUUAACACAAUUGAAAUAUAUAAUCCGGCAAUUUUAGUAUAUCCAGAGUACAUGAGUGUUUGAUCCCUUAGCGCUGGGGCUGUAGGCCCCUGGCUGUGGAUGCUCAGGAGGAACUGAGCUCAGGUCCUCUGGGAAAGUAGCAGUUACCCUCAACGGCUGACACAUUUCUCCAGGCCCUAUAUUAAAGAACUACCAAACAGUUCUGCAAAGCACUUAGACAACUUUACAAUCUCUCCACAUUCUUCCUUCCUAACACUUGGGAUAUUUUUUCCCCGUUACUGCAGUGGGUAUGAAGCUGUACCUCAUUUUGGUUUUGAUUUGCAUUUUUCAUCAUCUCUUGUCUAUCUUCUUUGGAGAAUUCUCUAUCCAGCUACUUUGUUUUAAAACUGUGUUAUUUAAGCCCCUCUACCAGUAUUGGGGGAUCAAACCUAGACAGACAAGUGCUUCUAAUAGAAGCCCAUCAGAUGGGAUAUUUGCUUCAUAUAUUGGAGUUGUUUAUGGUUUAGUUAUAAAUCUCCAUUAGAUCUAUGUUUUGAAUUUAUUCUUCUAUGUGUNNNNNNNNNNNNNNNNNNNNNNNNNNNNNNNNNNNNNNNNNNNNNNNNNNNNNUCAGAAAUCCGCCUGCCUCUGCCUCCCGAGUGCUGGGAUUAAAGGUGUGCGUCACCACCGCCCGGCUAUUUUAUUUUAUAUGUGUAUGUGUAUGUCGUGUGUGGUGCCUUGGAGGCCAGAGGAUGACAAUGGAUAACCGAGGACUUGGAGUUACAAACUGCUGUGAACCCUAAGAUGUGAGUGCUGGCAGGUGACCUUGGGCCCCCAGGAGUCGCUCUUACCUGCUGAGCCAUCUUCCAGGCCCUUCCCUUUCCUGAUGUCAUCACACACAGCACUCAGGUCUUUACUUCUAAUCAAACAGUUUUUUUUUUUUUUUCUGCUUGUACCUUUGUCGUCAUAUUUAGGGAAUCAAUAAUUCACAAAAAUUUACACUGAUUAUGUUUUCUUUGAAGAGUUUCUUGGUUUGCUACUAUGUUAACUCCAAUUUGGGGCUGUUUUGUGUAUGGCACUAGGAGGGGCUUGAAUUCAGCCUGCACUGGGGUGUCAAGCUGUUGCUGCUCUGUUUGGAAGUCUGUUCUUUCCUCAUUGGACUGUUCGGGCACAUCUGCUAAAAUUCAGUUCACAUACUUUACCGUUGGAAUAUUAAUUUUAUUUCACUGGUCUGUAUUUCUAGCCUGUGCUGUGUUUUGCUUACUGUAGCAUUGUGGAAUUGGGAACUUUGCUCUUUUAAAAGGUUGUUUUGUCUAUUCUGCAUUUCUCGAAUUUCCAUAUGAAUUUUAGAAUUGGUUCAUUCAUUUCUAGAAAGAAACCAACAGGGAUUUUGAUAUUAUGUUGAACCUAUAUAAGAAUAUUGGAAGUGCCAUAAUAUUAAAAAUGUUAAAUUCAUGAAUCC